rnacentral:lncRNA from 1 species
AAGCCAUUUGAUUUCCAAUUUCUUCUUUUGUCCAGCUGUAAUUUUAUUUUACAGCUUGGGUCUUGGGAUAUUUUCACUUGGCAACGCCGAGUCGCCGACAGAACGAGAUGACCAAUCAGAGGCCUUGGUUGGCCGCUAAAUAGAUUUUUACCGCAUAAAUUCGCAAGUAGUUGUGAGUGUGUGGUGUGUGUGUGAGAUGGGUCAUUGACAUGUUUUGUUAGUGUACACUGGUGUACACGGUGUUUGUUUUGGUUCUAAAGUCCGGAGAAGUCCAGUGCUUUGCAGAGAUUUGAAAGCUUAAAAUUGAUCAAUGGAAGUGAAUUUUCAUAGCAAAUUGUUCACCUUAUUUCUAUUUCCAUCUCUGUGUGUAAGCUUUUUGAUGUCAUAAAAUCGUUGACGAAUGAAGACAAGAUAAGGAAGGAUCUCUUACCUAACCCUACUUUCUCCGUGUCCUGAUUGAUUUUCGCACGUGAUUUAUUUCUUUGGCCGUCAACAUUGGAUGUCUUUCCAAUUAUUAUUUGUAGUCUACCAUACGAAAAGUAAUUUUCCGUGAAUUAUUUUAACCAUCCUAGGUAAAAGUGUGAAGAUGGACACAAUUUUUGUUUGCAUAUGUCCAUUGCUAUAAGAAUUUGGACUCAUCCUUUUUCGAUCAGAAACAAGAGCUUUCCUCGAAGAGUUGAAAACCUUUGAAGCGCCUUUCUUUAGCAGCAGGUUGUCUCGUCAUCAUGAACUCAAUGGAGGAAGGCGCCAGUCCUGACGUUUGGUCGCAGGAAACUGUUGAUCUUCUAGACUCCAUCCUAGAAACUUAUCGCAAGAACGACGAAGAGAAACUGCUUAAACUAGAGGACGAUGUAAACACAAUGAAGGGCCUCAUUCAAUGCUCUCUGACGUCACGCAUACUCAGUGUCCAGAAAGAAAACGAAGCCUUGCUCCUCGAGCAAGCCCGGACUCAGAGAGAGCUAACCAGUGUUCAGAAUGAACUAUCUGCGACCAGGGAAGAGCUCGAAGAAGCCCUGAGCUUUCAACAAAUGCAAAGAAAAGAUCAGGAGGAGCUAACAACCGUCCGGAGCGAAUUAGCUGCGACAAAGCGAGAGCUAGAGCAAGUGAAAAGGCAGUGCGCGGCUGCCAAAAAAACAGCGACAGAUUUGCAGAAAAAGCAGUCGAUGCUGGAAAAAACCAAUCAGUCACUGAGAAGUGAGAAAGAAAAUUAUUUAGAGCGACUGACCCAACAAAGUUCCUACUGCGUAUCGCUAGGAGACGUAAUGGGAACACUUCUCUGGAUGUGUACAAGUUUGCCUGAGACUAUCGAACUACUUUCCCGGACGGAGAAGACGAAAGAACUGCUACACUUGGCGGCAACGACGCUAAAUACUUUCGUUGCAUCUUGUCCCGACUCCUUCCCAGAGGAAGGUUCCCGUGAGUUAUUGUUCAUAUCUUCCCUGCUUGGAAUCAUCGCAAAUCUAGUGACUUUAAAAGAAGGCUGUUUCACGCUCACUUCCACCUUCAUCGGAGCAGGGACUUUCAUCGGCCCAAUUCUAGAAGCUCUACCCACCAUUUACUUGAAAGCCGGAGAUAGUCUUAGAUCGCUGGAUUCCCUCUUCCAAUCGCCCCAGGAGCCCCGAAGAAGCAGCUACCGGAGAGGCAACUCCGCGGCCCCGUCCCCCGCUGACGUCACCGGGGGUCCGGUUGACGCGGGGGUGGAGCGGACCCGGCCCGGGAUUCGAGGAAUGCCAGGAAUCGUAAGACCAAAGGGCCGGGUCCCUUGCCGAUAA